rnacentral:lncRNA from 1 species
GCAGCUCUACUGUUUUUUUUUUUUUUUUGGUUUUGGUUCUAUCCUGUAUUUUCUACUUCCCAAUUCUGAUAUUAUAGCUUUUCUUCUUUCCAGUGUGUGAGCUUAUUUUGUUAUUUUUUAAAGAGAUUAUAGUAUAGAAAAUAGAUAUGUUGAGAAUAAUCUCAGGCUAGAGUGAAAAGGAUAUCUUUUUUCCUUGCUUAAUGAACAUAGACACUUUUUUUGGUAGAAUCUGAUCCUAGUUAAGGUAUGAAGACAGGGUUGUUAGCUUGUAGCAGUUUAAAAAUCAAUCUCUUCUGUCGACUUCAAAGGAUUAUAGAAGACAAGAGAGUCAAACUUUUCGAAGGAGAGACUGAAAACUGUUAACUAAGUUAAUAAGAUGUCUUAAAUGAUUGUGUGGGGAAAAGCAACCUUCCAUAUUAAAAGAAGCUUCAAAAGAGGGAAAGUAUUAUAAAGAGGCUUACCGAUGACAAUGUCUCUAAGAAAGCACUGAUUCUCAGUGAGUGUGACUCACAACAGAGGUGACAGUUUUGAACCAUGGGUGGCUUUGGGAGGUAAAAGAAAGAGCAGCGGCUGUAGCAAGAAUUUCUUCAGUCUAUCUUGGAAGAGUAACAGUCCUGCAAGGUGAAAUUUCUUCAGAGCUCAUUAUUAAGAUAAAAUGUGAUGCUUCAUCUCGAUCAGAGUAAGCAAGGAGUUUAAAACUCACCUGAAGGAACAGAAUCAGGAAAGCUCCUGCCUCUGUGAAGCAUGUCAGAGUAAUUUUGUAACCUAAAUUAAGGUAAGUGGUGACAAAACCUAUUUAAACAUUUCUGCCUUGCAUCUAUCUGUGCUAACUUGAUUCCAUCUAGCGCAAUACAAUUUAACUCAAUUUGAUUGGAGAGCAAUGCAACAAAUAUUCAAUGGUGAUCCAUGAGGCUUGCUUUCUUUAAAUCUUGAGUCUAACAUUAUUUCUUUUUGAAAGAAAUAUCUAACUAAUGUUUUAUUUGUGAAUUCAGUUGCUCUUUAAUAACAAGAAAAAAAUUGAAUGAGAUGUAUUAAUUCUUCAGAAACUUCAGAGGCUAUGGAGGAGAAAAGGCAUCCUGUUCUGUGAAGGUCAGAACUACCCUAGAUGGUGCCACUGCCACCUAGUGAUAAUACAGACCUGAAUUUAUAGACAUAGUUCUAUGGACUAUAAACAUGUACAGAGUAUUUAGUUAAUUCAGUAUAUUUCCAGUAACAGGGACCACAAAGAGGAAAAAUUUUCUUAACUCUAUAUACAACCUAUUGCCCUUAUAAUUGCAUAUACAAAAUUUACUUUAGGAAAUAAUCAUACAGUUCUAAACUUGUAAAUUUAUUUGAGAUUACAAAAGCACUGAUUGCAAAAUAGGUCAUUACAUCGAUGUUCUUAAGAUAUCAUUUUAAAAUAUAAAGUGGAUUUUAUGGAUUUUUCCUUUUGCUCAAAUGCAUAAUUGCAACACUUCAUGUCCUUGUAAUUAUUUAGAAUUUUUAUAAAUGAUUAUUGAAUGCUUUCAUGUAUCUUAGCUUUCUCUGUUUUACUGAUUGUUAUCUUUGUUUUUAACACGUCUGUAAAUGUAUAUUUGAAAUUUUCACAUUCAUCAUAUGCAGUUUUUAUGUUAUUUUCAAGGAGAUUUUACUUUAACUUUUGAUUGUGAUUAAUUAUGCACAUAAUUUUAUGUCUCAGAGAAAAAAAUUUAUGGUUGUAUUUUUUGAAUCUUGUCUAGGAACAUGGAUUACCCUAUUGAUUGCACCUUCAUAUUCCAGAGAAGCAGGAGAAAUAACUAAGGGAUGGCCAUUGUCUGAUGCAGAUUCAAACAUGAUGUUCAUGCAGAAAGAAAAAAGAAAAUAAUGGGCCUAGCUGGCUACACUAAGCAUUUCCUUGAAUUUUUGUGACAAACUUUAUGAGGUCGUGG